rnacentral:rRNA from 1 species
ACUUUCAACAACGGAUCUCUUGGUUCUCGCAUCGAUGAAGAACGCAGCGAAAUGCGAUACGUAAUACGACUUGCAGCCUUCGUGAAUCAUUGAAUCUUUGAACGCACAUUGCCCCGUAAGGGAUGCGUGGUUGAGCGUCGUUU